rnacentral:rRNA from 1 species
AGUGCCGUUGAUACUGUAGAGCUAGGAUUAGGUUGCUGUGGGCGGAAUGUGUGGUGUAGCGGUGAAAUGCUUAGAGAUCACACAGAAUAUCGAUUGCGAAGGCAGCUCACAAAGCCUAAAUUGACGCUGAGGCACGAAAGUGUGGGGAUCGAACAGGAUUAGAUACCCUGGUAGUCCACACUGUAAACGAUGAUAACUCGCUGUCGGCGAUAUACAGUCGGUGGCCAAGCGAAAGCGAUAAGUUAUCCACCUGGGGAGUACGACCGCAAGGUUGAAACUCAAAGGAAUUGACGGGGGCCCGCACAAGCGGAGGAACAUGUGGUUUAAUUCGAUGAUACGCGAGGAACCUUACCCGGGCUCGAACGGUGCAUGAAUGUUCAAGAGAUUGGACAGUCCUUCGAGACAUGUAUCGAGGUGCUGCAUGGUUGUCGUCAGCUCGUGCCGUGAGGUGUCGGCUUAAGUGCCAUAACGAGCGCAACCCUUGUCAUUAGUUACCAUCAGGUCAAGCUGGGGACUCUAAUGAGACUGCCACCGUAAGGUGAGAGGAAGGGGGGGGAUGACGUCAAUCACCACGUCUCUAUGGUCCGGGGGCGACACACGUGGUUACAAUGGGGGGGUACAAAGGGGAGUCAUCCGGCGGACGUGAGCGCCAAUCCUCAUAACCCCUCUCAGUUCGAAUGGGAGUCCGCGAACCCG